AUUUUAUUAUAAAUGUAGGUAUUAAGAUGUUGGGUAGGUAUUUUUUAUUUAACUCGUUGAAUUCGUGGUUAGAUUAUGAGCCUGUGCCAUCCCAAGGAACUGGAUUAUAAUUUCAGAUCAUGUCGGACCAGCGCCAAGCCGGCCUUAUAAUACUUCCUCCUAUUAUUUUGGGAUAUGAUGAACUUUACAGCGAUAAAGAAGAAAAAGACGUACAUAAACAAAAAACACUUGAUAAAUCCCAAGAAAAUCACCAGCGUAAGAGGAAUAUAGAUAACGACCAUGAUGAACACGAAACGGAUUUUGGCGGCUAAUUACUGACACAUAAAAUAUCAAAGCCAUGUCACAGAUAAUAAAAGACAUAUUUACUAAUAUCA